rnacentral:piRNA from 1 species
UGGGUGUGCGUCAGUACUUUUCUCCC